rnacentral:rRNA from 1 species
AACCGGAGUACGGAACACCGGGAUUACCUCAGUAACGGCGAGUGAAGCGGUAACAGCUCAAAUUUGAAAUCUGGCUCCUCUGGAGUCCGAGUUGUAAUUUGUAGAAGAUGCUUUGGGUUGUGGGUCAGGCCUAAGUUCCUUGGAACAGGACGUCAUAGAGGGUGAGAAUCCCGUAUGUGGCCGAGGCCCGCGCCUAUGUAAAGCUCUUUCAACGAGUCGAGUUGUUUGGGAAUGCAGCUCAAAAUGGGUGGUAAAUUUCAUCUAAAGCUAAAUAUGGGCCAGAGACCGAUAGCGCACAAGUAGAGUGAUCGAAAGAUGAAAAGCACUUUGGAAAGAGAGUUAAACAGUACGUGAAAUUGUUGAAAGGGAAGCGCUUGCACCCAGACUUGGGCGCUGCUGAUCACCUUGCGGUCUCCGCGAGUGCACUCGACAGCGCACAGGCCAGCAUCGGUUCGGGUGGCUGGAUAAAGGCCGUAGGAACGAAGCUCCUUUCUGGGAGGGUUAUAACCUACGGUGGCGUGCAGCCCAGCCGGACCGACGACCACCCCUUCUGCCUAAGAUGAUGGCGUAAUGAGGGUUGCCAACCCCCCCUUGAAAAAAGAACCCAACAAGGG